rnacentral:lncRNA from 1 species
CCGAAGGGCAAGGAGCGGGGCUCGCUGCGCGCGGCGACUAGCUCGGUCCUCGGCGAGAUUCAAAAGGCGAAGAUGAAGGCGGCUAGGGCUCGAUUUUUGCGACUUGAUGCAAACGGAAGCUGCGGCUUUUGAGGGGGAACUUUAUAGGGGCUUGAUUUUACGAAAAAGGCAAGGAAUCACGAAUCCGGGAUUGAAAUCGGCCGGCGGUCGUCGUGUCCCGUUCGGACUCAAGAAGGAAGAAGAAGGCGGUCGCUCACAAGUGGGUCCCGGGUGUCAGUGAGGAGAAAGGGAGAGAGGGGGCGCAGGGGGGAAAAAACAGGCAGGCCAGGGAGGGAGUGGGCCUCGGCCCGCAGGCCACCAGGCCGAGGGGAGGGCUGGCCGGGGUUUUGUUUUGUUUCUUUUUUUUUCUUUUUCUUUUCUGUUUUCUUUUUCCAAAACAUUUUCCAAAUAGAGUUUUGUAUGCAAAAUAGAUUCAAACCAGAGGCAAACAAUACAAAAUAAAAUAUUCUUCAUCAUGAAUGCAUAAACAAGUUUCUAAUCUUAUGAUAAAUUUUAAUUCUGACCAAAAAUUAUUUAAGUGCUAAAUUUAAAUAUGCACAAAAAUGCUUAAUUAACUCAAAUUAAUCCCUAUUAAUUUAAAACAGAUUUUUUGGGUGUUACAGCUAAGUAUGUUAAACUUAUUUUAGCAUAGAGAGUGACCCUUAGCUCUGUGUUACAACAAUGCCCUUGUCAUUAUUUGUAUACUCCUUCUGGUAUGUGUUGUCCACUAAUAAUUUGUAGGGAUAAAAUAAUAAGAAGAGCUAAAGGUCCAAGUACAAUAUAAAUGGAGAGCAAAUAAUGGCGUAAGAAAGGUGUACAACAAAGUUGACAAGCUGUCCAUGAACAAGGCACAUGACUAGCCAAGCAAGGGAAGCUUCAACAAGAUGUUAUGGCUUCAACAUGCUUCAAUACUAAAGGUAACAUCUCUUGGUAAGUGAUCUUUACUUCCAAAUUAUCCUCCUUGAUUUUGGCAUACAUAUAAGUAGAGAGCCAAACAUGUUUUGAGUUACAACCUUAUUUGAUCCAAUCUAAUUAGCUCAACAUGUUCAGUUCUUUAUGCUUGUUUCUAGAAUCACUUUCUUGAUCUUGUAGUUUUUAAUUGAAUGGUCUGAAAUAUUGCACAUCCUAUCUUUGGAAUAUGAUAGUCAUAAUCAUAAAGUUACAUGCAUAGAUAGACCAUCCUUCCAUAAUGUUAGGUAAUCUGAUUGGCCAAGUAUUUUAAUGCUACAAGCUUGCUAAUCAUUUGUUCCUGUCACCCAUGUUUAGAUUGAGCAAAACACAUAAACAUCAACUUUAUCUCGUUUAAUGUGCCAAAUGCUAGAGUAUAAUGAACAAACCUUUUGGUUCUAUUGGUCUUUUCCCACCAACAGAGCCCAUGCACUUGAUCUCUACCUUGUCUCUAUGAGUGGGAUACACUUUCAUCAACUCCCCGAGAAUCCUACAAGUGAAAAUCCUAGACCUAUGAACAUGCACGCUGAACGAAGAUGUUGCUAGCUCCCAGAACUAGUACUUGACUUCAAUCCGCUGGAAGAUUAAUAAACAUAGGUGACACCAUCUCAAGAGGUGCAACUAUCAUGGUCUUCACCUUUGGGACCAGAUAAAGCACCUAAGAAUUAACAUGGUAAGAGAUCCUGUUCGGAGGACAUAAAAUCACCGAACACCGCGCCAAGAGGUAACUUGGUAUUUAUCUGCAUUUUACUUUA